AGAGUUUGAUCCUGGCUCAGAACGAACGCUGGCGGCAGGCUUAACACAUGCAAGUUGAACGGGAACAUACGAUAGCUUGCUAUAGUAUGUGAGAGUGGCGCACGGGUGAGUAAUACAUGGGAACAUACCUUAAAGUGGGGGAUAACUUCUGGAAACGGAUGCUAAUACCGCAUACACCCUGAGGGGGAAAGAUUUAUCGCUUUAAGAUUGGCCCAUGGCAGAUUAGGUAGUUGGUGGGGUAACGGCCUACCAAGCCGACGAUCUGUAGCUGGUCUGAGAGGACGAUCAGCCACAUUGGGACUGAGACACGGCCCAGACUCCUACGGGAGGCAGCAGUGAGGAAUAUUGGGCAAUGGGGGCAACCCUGACCCAGCCAUGCCGCGUGAGUGAAGAAGGUUUUCGAAUUGUAAAGCUCUUUCGGAUGUGACGAUGAUGACGGUAGCAUCUAAAGAAGCCCCGGCAAACUUCGUGCCAGCAGCCGCGGUAAUACGAAGGGGGCGAGCGUUGUUCGGAAUUACUGGGCGUAAAGGGUGUGUAGGUGGACGUGUAAGAUAGCGGUGAAAUGCCGGAGCUCAACUUCGGAAUUGCCAUUAUAACUAUGCGUCUAGAAUUAUAGAGAGGAUAGCGGAAUACCCAGUGUAGAGGUGAAAUUCGUAGAUAUUGGGUAGAACACCAGUGGCGAAGGCGGCUAUCUGGCUAUAUAUUGACACUGAGGCACGAAAGCAUGGGGAUCAAACAGGAUUAGAUACCCUGGUAGUCCAUGCUGUAAACGAUGAAUGCUAGUUGUUGGAGGAAUUCAGUGACGCAGUUAACACAAUAAGCAUUCCGC
rnacentral:rRNA from 1 species